AGUGGCGAACGGGUGAGUAACACGUAGGUGAUUUACCUUUGGUUUUGGGAUAGCCUGUGGAAACACAGGGUAAUACCGGAUGAGGUUUUCAGGUUUCGGUCUGGAGACGAAAGGCGCUAAGGCGCCGACUGGAGAUGAGCCUGCGGUCCAUUAGUUAGUUGGUGGGGUAAAGGCCUACCAAGGCGACGAUGGAUAGCCGGCCUGAGAGGGUGGCCGGCCACACUGGGACUGAGACACGGCCCAG
rnacentral:rRNA from 1 species